UGCCAGCCGCCGCGGUAAUACGGAGGGGGCAAGCGUUGUUCGGAAUUACUGGGCGUAAAGGGCGUGUAGGCGGCCUGACCAAGUCGGGUGUGAAAGCCCUCGGCUCAACCGAGGAAUUGCACCCGAUACUGGUUGGCUAGGGUCCGGGAGGGGGUAGCGGAAUUCCCAGUGUAGCGGUGAAAUGCGUAGAUAUUGGGAAGAACACCGGUGGCGAAGGCGGCUACCUGGACCGGAACUGACGCUGAGGCGCGAAAGCCAGGGGAGCGAAUGGGAUUAGAUA
rnacentral:rRNA from 1 species